rnacentral:rRNA from 1 species
UGAGGAAUAUUGGUCAAUGGGCGUAAGCCUGAACCAGCCAAGUCGCGUGAGGGAUGAAGGUUCUAUGGAUCGUAAACCUCUUUUAUAAGGGAAUAAAGUGCGGGACGUGUCCCGUUUUGUAUGUACCUUAUGAAUAAGGAUCGGCUAACUCCGUGCCAGCAGCCGCGGUAAUACGGAGGAUCCGAGCGUUAUCCGGAUUUAUUGGGUUUAAAGGGUGCGUAGGCGGCCUUUUAAGUCAGCGGUGAAAGUCUGUGGCUCAACCAUAGAAUUGCCGUUGAAACUGGGGGGCUUGAGUAUGUUUGAGGCAGGCGGAAUGCGUGGUGUAGCGGUGAAAUGCUUAGAUAUCACGCAGAACCCCGAUUGCGAAGGCAGCCUGCCAAGCCAUGACUGACGCUGAUGCACGAAAGCGUGGGGAUCAAACAGGAUUAGAUACCCUGGUAGU